rnacentral:rRNA from 1 species
UCGUUCAAACUUUCAACAACGGAUCUCUUGGUUCUGGCAUCGAUGAAGAACGCAGCGAACUGCGAUAAGUAAUGCGAAUUGCAGAAUUCAGCGAGCCAUCGAAUCUUUGAACGCACAUUGCGCCCGCCAGCAUUCUGGCGGGCAUGCCUGUCCGAGCGUCAUUUCCUCCCUCACGC